AGAACGAACGCUGGCGGCGUGCCUAACACAUGCAAGUCGUGCGGGAAAGUUCCCUUCGGGGAGCGAGUAGAGCGGCGCACGGGUGAGUAACACGUAGGUAACCUGCCCUCGAGACUGGGAUAACCUGUCGAAAGACGGGCUAAUACUAGAUAAGACCACGAAGGCUUUGGCCUUUGAGGUAAAUGGUGGCCUCUGCUUGCAAGCUACUACUUGAGGAUGGGCCUGCGCGCCAUUAGCUAGUUGGUGGGUAACGCCUACCAAGGCAGAGAUGGCUAGC
rnacentral:rRNA from 1 species